GUCCUAAUAGUAUAAAAAAUUACAUUGGUUUUGUAAGCCAAAAAUGAAGACACAUCUUCUUAGGGCA
rnacentral:tRNA from 1 species